rnacentral:lncRNA from 1 species
UGAGGGGGAAUAUUCAAUUAAGGGGGAAUUAUAUUGAAUUGAUUUCUAUGAAUUGUUUGCAUUAAUUGUAUGUUGAGAUAUAGCAUGAAUUUAGGGGGAAUCCAAUAUGCAUAUCUUCCGUUGUUUUUCAUUAUCAAAAAGGGGGAAAUUGUUGGAAAUCAUGUAUACCUUUGAUAUGUGCGCUUUGGUUGUAUGAGCAUGAUUUUCAGGUAUAGGUUUUGAUG